AUCCUUUUGUAGUUCAUGAGCAUGAUGAUUGGGUGUUCAUGCAUGUUUGUGAGAUGUACCACCCUUGAACCUUGUUAUGACAUCAGCACCUUACCCGUUAGACC